CACAAAGCACGGCAAUAUUUACACUAUUGAAGGCACCUGAGAUGUCAAAAAAUACAGACAAAAGAUACUGAUUACUUGCUAAACAUUGAUGCGCAUCAAGCUGUAACUGCGCUAUACUCUCCCUAGAAGACCGACCUUUGCGAAAACCAAACUGAUUAUUAGGCAAAAGACAAUUUUGUUCUAUAAAGAACUCGAGACGUUGUUUUAGAAGCUGCUCAAAUAUCUUCCCAACACAAGACGUGAGAGCUAUAGGUCUAUAAGAGUCAGCAUUUAAAACUGCUUCUGUACACCUCUGAUUCCACCAAGGCAACCAAGGAUAUUUAAAAGAUUUUUGUGAACAAGAACUAGUAACAUUAUUACUAUUAGAACUUUUGGAAAACAGACAGCUAGGGAUUGACUGCUUGGCAGCAGAAAGUAAAAUAUUACAAAAGGAAUUAAAAGCAUCUAUUGAAGAUAAAGUGUCAAAUUUAACAUCAUCCAAAUAAGAAACAACUAAGUUACUAUACAUAUUCCAAUUCACCUGCUUAUAAUUAGGGGAGAUGAUAACUACUGCCCAGAGGACUGUCAAUAACUGACCAGUCACAUAAAAGAGCCAAUGAUGGAGUUACCAAAGUCAAGUCAAGAGCAUUAGGACGCCAAGAUGGAGAUCCUAUUGUGGUAGCUUGACCAUUAUUCAGAAUAACAAGACCAUUCUCAUCUAUAACCUCUAAAACAUCUUUACCUCGAGGCAAUGUAUCAACACAUCCCCACAACAUGUGAUGAGCAUUGAAAUCACCUGCAAAUAUCAUUGGCUCUGGAAUGGACUUAAUUAAACUGUUUAAAUUGUUUUUAUUAAAUGGAGGAUUUGAAUUGGAAGGACUGUAAAAACUUACAAUACUCAGUUCUUUGUUAUUAAUUUUAAUUUUAAUGCAAACAUUUUGUAGAGCACUAUCAAAAUAUGUAUUUAUGUUAGAAAAUGUGAUAUUAUUAUGAAUAAAAAUUGCUACACCA